rnacentral:rRNA from 1 species
GACGAACGCUGGCGGCGUGCUUAACACAUGCAAGUCGAACGGUGAAGCGCCUUCCUUUUUGGUGGGUGCGGAUGAGUGGCGAACGGGUGAGUAACACGUGAGUAACCUGCCCCCUUCUUCUGGAUAACCGCAUGAAAGUGUGGCCAAUACGGGAUAUUCUGGGUCUGUCGCAUGAUGGGUCUGGGAAAGAUAUUGUUUCGGUGGGGGAUGGGCUCGCGGCCUAUCAGCUUGUUGGUGGGGUGAUGGCCUACCAAGGCGGUGACGGGUAGCCGGCCUGAGAGGGUGGACGGUCACACUGGGACUGAGACACGGCCCAGACUCCUACGGGAGGCAGCAGUGGGGAAUAUGGCACAAUGGGCGCAAGCCUGAUGCAGCGACGCCGCGUGAGGGAUGGAGGCCUUCGGGUUGUGAACCUCUUUCGCCAGUGAAGCAGGCCUGCCUCGUUUGUGGGUGGGUUGACGGUAGCUGGAUAAGAAGCGCCGGCUAACUACGUG